GUUUGUGUUCAUCACCUUCCUGUUCUGUAGUUUAGGCGAACAGGAAAAUGAUGUUGUGUUGGCUGUGCUGUGUUGGCUGUGUUAUCCCGAGAGGGGAGAAACAACGAGAUCUCGUCUCCCCCCUUUUUUGUUUUUGUUUUUUUUUUUUUUUUUUUUUUCACCAUAUAAUCAACUCAUAACCCCUCAAGUUGACAGGACAACACAGGUACGUGUCAAAAUUCUUAAGAUCCUGUUUAGAAACCUAAAAAGGAAUUUCCUAUCAUUCAGUAGUCAUUUGUCUUAAACAAUCAACAAAAACAUGUCCCAAGUCGACCCUUUUAACCACUAAAUUUGUCGUGUCCUCACUUAAUCCUCAGACCAGUGUCUUUGUCUUUUAACGUUACGUUGUUGUCCUGCAACCCAAAGCGUUUAAUUGUCAGUAAUGUAUGAACUAUAUCAUUUAAAAACAGGUGUAUGUUAAGUGUCGCUACUUUAACCUUGCAUGUACGUGCACAUGUAUGUAAGCUGUUUCUUCAUUGCAUGUAUGGGUGCGUCUGUAUAUGGGUUACUUUAACUUUUUCUCAAACGAGGCAUGUCUCUAACACGCACAUGUGUCUGUUCCUCACCCUUCUCAUAUCUUUCUCUGGUUGUGUGUGGUUUUAUUUGUUUCAGUGAUUUACCAGGAACAUCUUUUCCUUUUCUCCAUGUCUUCCGCCAGAGGUUAACACCGGCUGGUGUGUGGAGUUGAUGACUGUCUCAACACAUGUUAAUUGUUCUCCCAAUGUGCUAAGAAUAACACCGGGACCCCAACC
ensembl:lncRNA